rnacentral:rRNA from 1 species
UUGGAGGGCAAGUCUGGUGCCAGCAGCCGCGGUAAUUCCAGCUCCAAUAGCGUAUAUUAAAGUUGUUGCAGUUAAAAAGCUCGUAGUUGAAUUUCGGGAUUAGUGCGUUGGUCGUGCCUUCGGUACGUACUGGUGUUACUGAUUCCUACCUUCUGACGAACCAUCAUGUCAUUAAUUUGGUGUGGCGGGGAAUCAGGACUGUUACUUUGAAAAAAUUAGAGUGUUUAAAGCAGGUUCGCGCUUGAAUACAUUAGCAUGGAAUAAUGAAAUAGGACGUUGAUCCUAUUUUGUUGGUUUCUAGGAUUGACGUAAUGAUUAAUAGGGAUAGUUGGGGGCAUUAAUAUUCAAUUGUCAGAGGUGAAAUUCUUGGAUUUAUUGAAGACUAACUACUGCGAAGGCAUUUGCCAAGGAUGUUUUCAUUAAUCAAGAACGAAAGUUAGGGGAUCGAAGACGAUCAGAUACCGUCGUAGUCUUAACCAUAAACUAUGCCGACUAGGGAUCGGAUGGUGUUAUUUUUAAUGACUCAUUCGGCGCCUUACGGGAAAC